UACAGAGGGUGCUAGCGUUGUUCGGAAUCAUUGGGCGUAAAGGGCGUGUAGGCGGUUUGUUAAGUCAUGUGUGAAAUCCCUCGGCUCAACCGGGGAACGACGCAUGAAACUGGCAAGCUAGAGUACCAAAGAGGGGGGUGGAAUUCCCGGUGUAGAGGUGAAAUUCGUAGAUAUCGGGAGGAACACCAGUGGCGAAGGCGGCGAUCUGGGUCGAUACUGACGCUGAGGUGCGAAAGCGUGGGGAGCAAACAGG
rnacentral:rRNA from 1 species